GGAGAGGUCGCAUAGUUGGCCUAGUGCGCGCGCUUGGAAAGCGCGUAUGCCGCAAGGCAUCGCGGGUUCGAAUCCCGCCCUCUCCG
rfam:Parcubacteria bacterium GW2011_GWC2_44_22 TW45_C0004, whole genome shotgun sequence.